UGCGCAGAGUAGGGUCGGGCGUCUCCCUGGAGCGCUCGAAUCAACUAAGUACCCGACUUACUGCACUGGGCAGGUGGCUCCUGAAAAGACGUUUACAGCAAGCCCAAAGAGCAGACCAAAGAGCUCAUUGACUCAAGGAGCAUCAUGGCAACGGGGCUGUACUUGGAAGGGAAGAAUCCAGGGUGUGAUCCACAACCAAGGCCUGAAGAAGUGGGGUCUGUAUUGACCUACCAAGGGUCCUCCAGGAGUAUGUGUCCAACCACCAAGGUGGGCAACAGAGUUUGGAGGCUGAAUCCUUCGGUACCUGGAGCGGGAUGGCAAUGGAACCACACAGAAUGGCCCAGAGCCCUGAGAAGGCUUCCUUCCCAGCAAAAGGCACCUGCACAGAAAUUCAGCCCAUAAAGUCAGGCAGAGACGGACACGGAUGACAAUUGGAUAAUGAGUGUUGGCAUUAACAAGCAUUGAAAAUAAGUCACUAGACAAUUAAACUCACAGUGUCAGAAAAUCUUACAGCUUAUGUAUAAUCAAAUGAAACUAAACUUGAUAGAGUGUUCACCAGAUUUGACAAUAAUCUUUAAAAUGUAUGACAUUGCCUGUAAUGAGUUCGGAGCUCAACGUUUUCUAAACCAGUAAUAACUGUAAUUAUUGAGUAAUUAAUCUGUCCUGAUGGUGGAAAGAAUGAAUUUUUUCCCUUCUUGCUAAAAGAGUGAGAUUACAAAAGUUGUUAUAUGUAGCAAAAAAUUUGGUAAAAAUUAUAAAGUGUGUUAGCCAUUGAUUAAUAACAUAAUGUUUUUCUGGGAGAAAAGAAAACCAGAUAGAGUGCAACAUAAAUGCAAAGUUUUGCUCAGCAAUUAAUGUUUUCUCUUUUUGGAUUUUAAUUGUCAUGUACUGACAGCCAAAAAACCACAUAUAUCAUGUCCAGUCCGAAAUACAGGAAAAAAAUGUGCAUAAAGAUGUUUAGCCCAGCUUUGUUUUCAAUAGGGAAUAAUGCCUGAGUGUUUCACAGUAGAGAAUUGGGAUAUGACAACAUUAUUAUAGUAUCUUGCAGCCAUUAAAAGGAAUGUUUCUGAAAAGCUUCUAAUAACAUUGUAACAAAAACUGUGUCAUCAUCUUCCGUUUAAAAAAAGCAGGGUAUAAAAUCCAACACUUCAUAUGAUUUCAGCUACAUUAAAGCAUGUCUAGAAAA